AGUUGUAGGUCCGGCCCAAGAUAGGCGAAGUAGUUGAAAUACUAGGGUUUAUAUUAAUUGGACACGCCGUCACACUCUCGGGGUAUCAAUUCGCAUUUGUUGGUUGUGAAGUUAGACAGCUCUGAUCCUAGCUAAAAAAUUUGGGAUUGAUGCGUAGUGAUUUUUGCUUAAGAAGUUGGUAUUCCCAUUUUCUGAGUAACAAUGUCGAGAAAGAGGCGACUCAGAAUAUUCAGAAGUUGAAGAGGUUGGAAACGUGUUGCCUUAAUGACGUGUGGUAGAGCUCUGUCCUAGUAAAGUCUGUUGGCCAUAUUAAAGUAAUUCGCAUUGCAAAAAAAAUGAUUCUAAGUAACAUCCGAAACUUAGAAGUGGUAGGUAAAAAAGUUGUAGGUAAGUGCAAAGGGUUCCUUUAGUUCUUAAGACAAUUACUAGUUUAUUAAGUUCCGAAUAAGAGAUUGAAGAGCAAACACAUUUUAAGAAGUGAAAUAUGAGGCUUUCAAUUUGUUGAGAAGUGAAUGUGGAAGCUCACAUAUUUCACUUUUCAAAUCUCCACUCUCCAACCUUUGAUUUGGAGCUUAAUAGGCGAACAAAUGUCUUUAGAGCUAAGGGCAAUCCUUUGCACUUUUCUGCAAUUCUUUUUCCAACCUCUUCAAUUUUUGAAAGUUUCUUAGAAUCCAUGUUUUCAAAUGCGCUUCUUUUGUAUAAAGACCAACAACUUUAUUGGACAGAGUUCCCACACUAAUUGGCCACUACCCAUCAAAACAACACUUUUCUUAUGUGAAUUGGCUCACUUUGACUCGUCAAACUACAAUGGCAACCUCAUGGAAGAGUGCGGACAUUCCAAAAUUUUAAGCAGACUUCAUCGAGAAAGAGGCAAGUUGAAACUGCGAGUUAUGUGCUCCUGACUAACUUUCUUUACUUUUGGGGUUCCCGCACCAUGCUUUUUAUUGUCAUUCUCCAUUACUCUCUUGUUCUUCUUUCCAAUCUCACCUCAAUAAAUUUGUAAAGUCAAUUUCCUUCUCUUCCUUGCAAGAUUUCGUAGUUUGUGCAGAAAAUUCUCAUCUCCUGUAUAUCUAAGUUUAGGUUUACUAAGAAGUUUGGGUAAGUAGAAAAUUUGAUCACCUUCUACUUUGUCAAGUUACAGAGGUAUUGUUUGUGGAUUAUUUUGAUAUACGCUCCUCUAGAAUUUAUAGGGUGAUGAGGAAAAUUUUGAUGCUGUGAAUGUUGGAUGACAUGCUUUUCAACGAUGGGAAUCAUUUCAGAUUUAUGGCAGGGAUUUGCAUUAUUACUGCACGCACAGUUCUAGAGGAAUGUAGUCCGUGGCUCUCCUAUAUUUUUUGUAUACUUCAAAUUCAAGUGUAUAAUGUUGUUCCUUUGUAUUUUCAUAUGUGGAAACUAGUUCUUUUGAAAUCACAAUGGAAGGUCAUAAUGAGUGAACGUUGAUUUUCUAUACGGGAAAGGUCUAAAUAUGCCCUUGUACUAUACGAAAUUGAGCACAUUUGCCUUUCGUUAAUACUUUAGUUCAAAUAUGCCUUUACCGUCA